UUGGUUCCAUGCAUAAAUAGACUCUAGGGUCCCAUUGGGGCCUUCCGGAUACCACCAGAAUGCCUGAAUCUUAAGCUGACUACAGUUUAGGUUCAAGCUAGAAUCCUUUCUGCUCAUCUGAGGAAAUGUCUAAGGAAAUGACUCAGAAUCAUGUAUUAAGUUUGAAUCAUCCUAGUAGGCCUGGGCCAUCUGCUCAUACGUGGUAAGGAAAGAAUUGUGGUUUCAGGCAUAUGGCUUUUGCUAUUAAGCUUUAUUGUCGUCUCUUAUUGGUGAGAAUGAUAUAUUGUUUAAAACUAAGGAGUUGUGAUAGCAUGUUACUGAACCUACAGCAAAAUACCAUCUCAGUUACAUUUAUGAUUUGAUGCCUAAACUAAUGGAAUGAGCAUGAGAGCAGCAAUGAGUGGUGCAUGCAAAGAAUUGGGACAUGGACAAAAAACAGGCUAUUUCUUAUUUAUUGGCAACUUUUUACAAAAUUGAGAGCGGCUGGCAGUUGUCAGAAAGAAGGCCUGGAUGGUCAAUCUCCUUGUACCGAUGAUUCUGACACCACUCUGGCAGGGAGAAGUGAGCAUUGCCUUGUUACUGCCUGGUGGAGGUAGAAACUCAUGAUCCCUGUUUGGCUU
rnacentral:lncRNA from 1 species